rnacentral:misc_RNA from 1 species
GAUGAAGAACGUAGCGAAAUGCGAUAAGUAAUGUGAAUUGCAGAAUUCAGUGAAUCAUCGAAUCUUUGAACGCACAUUGCGCCCGCCAGUAUUCUGGCGGGCAUGCCUGUUCGAGCGUCAUUUCAACCAUCAAGCCCCCGGCUUGUGUUGGGGACCUGCGGCUGCCGCAGGCCCUGAAAUGCAGUGGCGGGCUCGCUGUCACUCCGAGCGUAGUAGUUACAUCUCGCUCAGGGCGUGCUGCGGGUUCCGGCCGUUAAAAAGCCUUAUUUACCCAAGGUUGACCUCGGAUCAGGUAGGAAGACCCGCUGAACUUAAGCAUAUCAAUAAGCGGAGGA